rnacentral:rRNA from 1 species
GACGAACGCUGGCGGCGUGCUUAACACAUGCAAGUCGAGCGGAAAGGCCUCUUCGGGGGUACUCGAGCGGCGAACGGGUGAGUAACACGUGAGUAAUCUGCCCUUCACACAUGGAUAACC